AAGAAAUGAAUUGGAAAUUGAUACUAAACUUUAGUCUUUACGUUGAUCUCUACAUAAAGAUGUCAAUUUUAUUUUGUUACAUUGAAAGCCUACAAUUGAAGUGUAGUGAAAAUUUUGUAUAUGUGAAUAUAGUUGUGGAAAUAUGAUAUUUGCAGUAUUAAAUGCAAUAAUAGUCUUAACAUAUAGGGCAGCUGCAAGUAACACUGAGUAACGUUUGGAACAAUUGGCAAAUGUUGGAAAGACGUCCGUUCAUUCUAAACGUAUAAGGAGAUGUGUGCGGAUGUGGAUUUUGUAGUCAGCGUUCAACUCUACAAUACACAGUUGUUCAGAAUUACAUGUACAUAUAAGUUGCGUUUACAUAUUUAUUGUUGAAUAUAGAUUAAAGAGUUUGAAUUAUUUU
rnacentral:misc_RNA from 1 species